rnacentral:rRNA from 1 species
UGGGGAAUAUUGGACAAUGGGGGCAACCCUGAUCCAGCAAUGCCGCGUGUGUGAAGAAGGCCUGCGGGUUGUAAAGCACUUUUGGCAGGGAUGAAAAGCACUGGAUUAAUAACCCAGUGUGUUGACCUAACCUGCAGAAGAAGCACCGGCUAACUCUGUGCCAGCAGCCGCGGUAAUACAGGGGGGUGCGAGCGUUAAUCGGAAUUACUGGGCGUAAAGGGCGCGUAGGCGGUCGAGUAAGUCGGAUGUGAAAUCCCCGGGCUUAACCUGGGAAUUGCAUUCGAUACUGCUUGGCUAGAGUGUGGAAGAGGGAAGCGGAAUUUCCGGUGUAGCGGUGAAAUGCGUAGAUAUCGGAAGGAACACCAGUGGCGAAGGCGGCUUCCUGGUCCAACACUGACGCUGAGGCGCGAAAGCGUGGGGAGCAAACAGGAUUAGAUACCCUCGUAGUCCCUGAGCGGGCUGGCAAGGCGCAU